rnacentral:rRNA from 1 species
GAUGAACGCUGGCGGCGUGCCUAAUACAUGCAAGUCGAGCGAACAGACGAGGAGCUUGCUCCUCUGACGUUAGCGGCGGACGGGUGAGUAACACGUGGAUAACCUACCUAUAAUACUGGGAUAACUUCGGGAAACCGGAGCUAAUACCGGAUAAUAUAUUGAACCGCAUGGUUCAAUAGUGAAAGACGGUUUUGCUGUCACUUAUAGAUGGAUCCGCGCCGCAUUAGCUAGUUGGUAAGGUAACGGCUUACCAAGGCAACGAUGCGUAGCCGACCUGAGAGGGUGAUCGGCCACACUGGAACUGAGACACGGUCCAGACUCCUACGGGAGGCAGCAGUAGGGAAUCUUCCGCAAUGGGCGCAAGCCUGACGGAGCAACGCCGCGUGAGUGAUGAAGGUCUUCGGAUCGUAAAACUCUGUUAUUAGGGAAGAACAACUGUGUAAGUAACUAUGCACGUCUUGACGGUACCUAAUCAGAAAGCCACGGCUAACUACGUG